GGGCCCGCACAAGCGGAGGAACAUGUGGUUUAAUUCGAUGAUACGCGAGGAACCUUACCCGGGUUUAAAUGUUGGUUGCAUAGAGCAGAGAUGUUCUUUUCUAGCAAUAGACUACCAGCAAGGUGCUGCAUGGUUGUCGUCAGCUCGUGCCGUGAGGUGUCGGGUCAAGUCCCAUAACGAGCGCAACCCCUGCUUCCUGUUACCAGCACGUAAAGGUGGGGACUCAGGAAGGACUGCCGCCGUAAGGCGAGAGGAAGGGGGGGAUGACGUCAAAUCAGCACGGCCCUUACAUCCGGGGCGACACACGUGUUACAAUGGUCGGUACAGAGGGAAGCCAGGCGGUGACGCCGAGCGGAUCUCAAAAACCGAUCGUAGUUCGGAUCGGAGUCUGCAACUCGACUCCGUGAAGCUGGAUUCGCUAGUAAUCGCAUAUCAGCCAUGAUGCGGUGAAUACGUUCCCGGGCCUU
rnacentral:rRNA from 1 species